rnacentral:misc_RNA from 1 species
AACGCACCUUGCGCUCCUUGGUUUUCCAAGGAGCAUGCCUGUUUGAGUGCCCAGAAAUACACUCAACUCAAAACUUGUGUUUGGGUUGGAAGGUGGGGGACUUGCCUUGCUCAUUUUGACAAGGCUCCCUUCAAAUGUGUUAGCUGGCCUGACAUGCCGGUCUGCCCCUGGCUUGAUAGUUGUCGAUGCCAUUGGGUGACCUUGGCUGGGCUGCUUCCAGUUGUCCUCUGGGACAAUCUUUGACCCCCGGGCCUCAAAUCAGGUAGGACUACCCGCUGAACUUAA